rnacentral:rRNA from 1 species
GCGAAUGACGAGAAGCUUGCUUCUCUGAUUUAGCGGCGGACGGGUGAGUAACACGUGGGCAACCUGCCCUACAGAUCGGGAUAACUCAGGGAGACCUGGGCUAAUACCGGAUAAUCCUUCGAAUCACAUGUUUUGAAGUUGAAAGGCGCUUCGGCGUCACUGUAGGAUGGGCCCGCGGUGCAUUAGCUAGUUGGUGGGGUAACGGCCUACCAAGGCAACGAUGCAUAGCCGACCUGAGAGGGUGAUCGGCCACAUUGGGACUGAGACACGGCCCAAACUCCUACGGGAGGCAGCAGUAGGGAAUCUUCCACAAUGGACGAAAGUCUGAUGGAGCAACGCCGCGUGAGUGAUGAAGGUUUUCGGAUCGUAAAACUCUGUUGUAAGGGAAGAACAAGUACGUUAGGAAAUGAAUGUACCUUGACGGUACCUUAUUAGAAAGCCACGGCUAACUACGUGCCAGCAGCCGCGGUAAUACGUAGGUGGCAAGCGUUGUCCGGAUUUAUUGGGCGUAAAGCGCGCGCAGGUGGUUUCUUAAGUCUGAUGUGAAAGCCCACGGCUCAACCGUGGAGGGUCAUUGGAAACUGGGGAACUUGAGUGCAGAAGAGGAUAGUGGAAUUCCAAGUGUAGCGGUGAAAUGCGUAGAAAUUUGGAGGAACACCAGUGGCGAAGGCGACUGUCUGGUCUGUAACUGACACUGAGGCGCGAAAGCGUGGGGAGCAAACAGGAUUAGAUACCCUGGUAGUCCACGCCGUAAACGAUGAGUGCUAAGUGUUAGGGGGUUUCCGCCC